rnacentral:rRNA from 1 species
GACGAACGCUGGCGGCGUGCUUAACACAUGCAAGUCGAGCGGUAAGGCCCUUUCGGGGGUACGACGAGCGGCGAACGGGUGAGUAACACGUGGGUGACCUGCCCUCCAGCUCCGGGAUAAGCCUGGGAAACCGGGUCUAAUACUGGAUAUGACUCCAUGACGCAUGUUGUGGGGUGGAAAGCCUUGUGCGGCUGAGGAUGGGCCCGCGGCCUAUCAGCUUGUUGGUGGGGUGANGGCCUACCAAGGCGACGACGGGUAGCCGGCCUGAGAGGGCGACCGGCCACACUGGGACUGAGACACGGCCCAGACUCCUACGGGAGGC